UACGAAGGGGGCAAGCGUUGUUCGGAAUUACUGGGCGUAAAGGGCGCGUAGGCGGUGCACUAAGUCAGGCGUGAAAGCCCUGGGCUCAACCCGGGAAUUGCGCUUGAUACUGGUGCGCUUGAAUCCAGGAGAGGUUGGUGGAAUUCCCAGUGUAGAGGUGAAAUUCGUAGAGAUUGGGAAGAACACCCGUGGCGAAGGCGGCUCUCUGGGACGGUACUGACGCUGAGACGCGAAAGCGUGGGGAGCGAACAGG
rnacentral:rRNA from 1 species